UACAGAGGUGGCAAGCGUUGUUCGGAAUUACUGGGCGUAAAGGGCGCGUAGGCGGUUCGUUAAGUCCUGUGUGAAAUCCCCCGGCUCAACUGGGGAACUGCACAGGAAACUAGCGGGCUUGAGUUCGGGAGAGGGAAGCGGAAUUCCGGGUGUAGCGGUGAAAUGCGUAGAUAUCGGGAGGAACACCAGUGGCGAAGGCGGCUUCCUGGCCUGUUCUUGACGCUGAGGCGCGAAAGCUAGGGGAGCAAACGGG
rnacentral:rRNA from 1 species